UUCCCUGUGAAUAAAUGCUUUCCAUCCUUUCCCAUUGGUCAUCAAAUAUAUUGUAAUACAGUAUUUGUUUCCCGGUGGCCCGGUGUUCCAGUCGUGUGCGCGUCGACCUCACAGCGCAGACAUUCCGGGUUCUCCGGCCUCCCUGUGUGGAGUUUGCAUGUUCUCCCCGGGCCUGCAUGGGUUUUCUCCGGGUACUCCGGUUUCCUCCCACAUUCCAAAAACAUGCAUGGCAGCCUGAUUGAACACUCGAAAUUGUCCUUAGGUGUGAGUGUGAGCGCGGUUGGUUGUUCAUCUCUGUGUGGCUUGCGUUUGGUUGGCAACUAGUUCAAGGUGUUCCCCGCCUACUGCCCUAAGACAGCUGGGAUAGGGAUUUGUUUCCCUUCCUGGUGAGGUGUUGUGCUCACUUAACUUGGAAAACAAACACCUCCCUGUUGAAUAAGAUAAAGAGUUAAAAUUACAAUCAGGACAUCUAGCCCGAGGAUCAAACUGGCACCUUGUCUACAUAGUUUUUAGGCGUGCACUUAACCACUAUGCGAAACCUCUGUGUAGGAGACUGGACCAGUGUAGAAUUUUGUGUCUGUUAUAUUAAAAGAAUAAUUCACUUGUGUGUUCGCAAGCACCCUGAUCGAAUUUAUUUUGUGAUUUCCUUGCGAGAAUUUCUGUUUUGGUGAAUGUAAUUGACACUAUACUUGCCACAUAUGACUGUGAAUGCUGUCGAGAUGGAUUUGAAUUCUCUCUCUCUCUCUCAGUUGAUGGGUGUUCUACAUUUGAAGAAGUAGUGGACGUGAUACCAGCUCAAGCAGGGUCCCACCGAUGGCAACCAAUUGCGAUUCACAUUCACCUUUUCAA